rnacentral:rRNA from 1 species
UUUCCGGUUGAUCCUGCCGGAACUGACUGCUAUCGCAUUGAUAAUUAGCCAUGCGAGUCAUUGUAGCAAUACAAGGCAUACGGCUCAGUAACGCGUAGUCAACCUAACCUAUGGACGGGAAUAACCUCGGGAAACUGAGAAUAAUGCCCGAUAGAACAUUAUGCCUGGAAUGGUUUAUGUUCCAAAUGAUUUAUCGCCGUAGGAUGGGACUGCUGUUUUAUCACUUUGUUGGUGAGGUAAUGGCCCACCAAGACUAUUACAGGUACGGGCUCUGAGAGGAGUAGCCCGGAGAUGGGUACUGAGACACGGACCCAGGCCCUAUGGGGCGCAGCAGGCGAGAAAACUUUGCAAUGUGCGAAAGCACGACAAGGUUAAUCCGAGUGGUCUCUGCUAAAGAAACCUUUUGUCAGUCCUAGAAACACUGAUGACUAACGGGUGGGCAAGUUCUGGUGUCAGCCGCCGCGGUAAAACCAGCACCUCAAGUGGUCAGGAUGAUUAUUGGGCCUAAAAGCAUCCGUAGCCGGCUCUGUAAGUUUUCGGUAUAAAUCUGUACGCUCAACGUACAGGCUGCCGGGAAUACUGCAGAGCUAGGGAGUGGGAGA